GAUGAAAUGCCUGAAAAAGGAUUAUUUUGAUAGAAUAAAUCAUGUAUAUUCACUGUACCUUCAUUG
rnacentral:tRNA from 1 species